GACGAACGCUGGCGGCGUGCCUAAUACAUGCAAGUCGAACGCAGGAAACUGACGGAACUCUUCGGAGGGAAGGCAGCGGAAUGAGCGGCGGACGGGUGAGUAACACGUAAGGAACCUGCCUCAAGGAUUGGGAUAACUCCGAGAAAUCGGAGCUAAUACCGGAUAGUUCAACGGACCGCAUGGUCCGCUGAUGAAAGGCGCUCCGGCGUCACCUUGAGAUGGCCUUGCGGUGCAUUAGCUAGUUGGGGGGGUAACGGCCCACCAAGGCGACGAUGCAUAGCCGACCUGAGAGGGUGAUCGGCCACACUGGGACUGAGACACGGCCCAGACUCCUACGGGAGGCAGCAGUAGGGAAUCUUCCACAAUGGACGAAAGUCUGAUGGAGCAACGCCGCGUGAGUGAUGAAGGUUUUCGGAUCGUAAAACUCUGUUGUAAGGGAAGAACACGUACGAGAGGGAAUGCUCGUACCUUGACGGUACCUUACGAGAAAGCCACGGCUAACUACGUGCCAGCAGCCGCAGUAA
rnacentral:rRNA from 1 species